GCCUUCUAUAAGCGACGGAAAGGUUGGAUUGUAUGCAGGACGGCAAGCUAGGUGAUGAAGGUGAAUAGAUAUGCUCGCAAGGAAUGGGAUUAUGGAUUCUAAUGGCAAGCAUUUCGAGGAAUGUGGUUUACCAAGCGCAAUAAUAGGUUUAAUGGUAUCGACGCCGAUGCCUCUGUGCCGUCUCACUCGUCGACCGUCUCCGUCUGACGCACGAACCGGACCACGCCCCCUUCCUUCCCCCUCCUGCGACCCCUGGCAGCAGUGCAGGAAACUACGUCGUCGACGCGCGGCGUAGUUCAGAACAUGCCCGAAACGACGCCGUGUCUAUCCGAACGCCGGUUGCACUCGCACAGUCUAACUCAACGAGAGAGUGAGACGGAAAGAUGGAAUAAUCACGCCGGGGUAUGCAUAUAAAGAUGAUCCGGGGAACAACCACACCCUGCCCCGCCAGAUCCUGCCCACCGGCGUCAUGACUGCGUCGGCGUCGGUUGUAAGCAGAGGAGAGACCGUCGGGACGCCUGGCUGAAGCUCACACUGCUUCUCCAGACGCCAAACUCAUCAGUCCUCCAGUGUGUCCGGGCUCGCGGUGACUCUGUCAGUGCCUGAAGAGGAAGGAGGUCUGUGUUGAGUUUCCUAGCCACGUUCGUUGGGGUGAAGAUUGAAUGCAACCCCCUGUACGUAUACUGAAUGUAUCCUGAGUGUUUUUUCUGUCCGGUAUACCUUCAGUAUACGUAACAGGAGGCCACAUUUCUACGAGUCGUCUCACCUUCAAUUCAAUCUUCUUAGCUGUAGGUACCUUAAGAACUAGUAAGAAUAAUUGUUUGUU